UGGGGAAUUUUGGACAAUGGGCGAAAGCCUGAUCCAGCAAUGCCGCGUGUGUGAAGAAGGCCUUCGGGUUGUAAAGCACUUUUGUCCGGAAAGAAAUCCUUGGCUCUAAUACAGUCGGGGGAUGACGGUACCGGAAGAAUAAGCACCGGCUAACUACGUGCCAGCAGCCGCGGUAAUACGUAGGGUGCAAGCGUUAAUCGGAAUUACUGGGCGUAAAGCGUGCGCAGGCGGUUUGCUAAGACCGAUGUGAAAUCCCCGGGCUCAACCUGGGAACUGCAUUGGUGACUGGCAGGCUAGAGUAUGGCAGAGGGGGGUAGAAUUCCACGUGUAGCAGUGAAAUGCGUAGAGAUGUGGAGGAAUACCGAUGGCGAAGGCAGCCCCCUGGGCCAAUACUGACGCUCAUGCACGAAAGCGUGGGGAGCAAACAGGAUUNGAUACCCUGGUAGUCACGCCCUAAACGAUGUCAACUAGUUGUUGGGGAUUCAUUUCCUUAGUAACGUAGCUAACGCGUGAAGUUGACCGCCUGGGGAGUAC
rnacentral:rRNA from 1 species